rnacentral:rRNA from 1 species
AUUGAACGCUGGCGGCAGGCCUAACACAUGCAAGUCGAGCGGAUGAAGGGAGCUUGCUCCUGGAUUCAGCGGCGGACGGGUGAGUAAUGCCUAGGAAUCUGCCUGGUAGUGGGGGAUAACGUCCGGAAACGGGCGCUAAUACCGCAUACGUCCUGAGGGAGAAAGUGGGGGAUCUUCGGACCUCACGCUAUCAGAUGAGCCUAGGUCGGAUUAGCUAGUUGGUGGGGUAAAGGCCUACUAAGGCGACGAUCCGUAACUGGUCUGAGAGGAUGAUCAGUCACACUGGAACUGAGACACGGUCCAGACUCCUACGGGAGGCAGCAGUGGGGAAUAUUGGACAAUGGGCGAAAGCCUGAUCCAGCCAUGCCGCGUGUGUGAAGAAGGUCUUCGGAUUGUAAAGCACUUUAAGUUGGGAGGAAGAGCAGUAAGUUAAUACCUUGCUGUUUUGACGUUACCAACAGAAUAAGCACCGGCUAACUUCGUG